rnacentral:misc_RNA from 1 species
AACAUCCAAAACUUUCGCCUGCCUCGGUAGGCGAAAAUCCACACCAAAUUUUCGGCCGGUUCAAGUGCCUAAAUUUUUUAAGCAACAAAAAUUUUUUCAGCCAAAAUUAUCUACUAGAGAAUAAUCUCUCAGCAGAAUUUUUAAAAUCACUGUUAACAACGGAUCUCUAGGCUCCUGUAACGAUGAAGAGCGCAGCGAAAUGUGAUAAUUGAUGUGAAUUGCAGAAAUAUGUGAAUCAUCGAAACCUUGAACGCAGCUUGCGACAGCAGAGUAACUCUAUCUGUCAUGUUUGUUCGAGUGCCAGCUUAACUCUCACCCACAAAAAUUAUUUUUGUGACGGUGGUUAUGGCUCUUGAGCCCCGCUGGCUUAUGACGCUCAAAUAAUGCAAAAAGUUUCUGCCUGCUCACGAGGGGUAGCAUAAUCUUUAGCGUACUGAAUUUAUUCAGCAUCCUUUGACUUGCAGCUUCUUUUUGCACUCAUCAAAAUUUUUGAUUAUUUGGCCUCGGACAAGCAAGAUUACCUGCUGAAUUUAAGCAUAU